AUAAACUAGGGUGUGCAGAGGGGGAACCCAUCGCCGUAGUAAGGGGGGUGCUCAGACGCAUAGCGUCGUCGAAGGGGGA
ncrna:unclassified sequences Clostridiales-2 RNA